CUCUCUUUGGUUUAGUUUAUGUUUGCCCCUUUGGUACUUGGUGUUUUUAAUUUAAAGCUGGUCAAUUUGGACUUACUGUGUUCAGUUGAGGGCUGCAGAGAGAAUCAAGAAGAGUAGUACUUGGUGGAGAGAUGGAUUCGGCCUUGGCAACAGAGGGAUCAAAUGUAUAUGAUAGAAGGUGAGAAGGGAGUGAGUCAUGGGAAUAAGGCCAAACUUUCAUUCGCAUAUUUUUCUGCACUGUUACAAUUUUGCACUUUAUGUUUAGAAUAUUCACUUAAGGUAGUUACUAGUUUCACCUAAAGUAUAGGUCUUAAUUGAUCCUUUUAUUCAUUUUUUUCUCAGCACAAGGUUCUUAGAGUUUCAGUUAGUAAAAUCAUUAUCAUUUCUGCAACUCUUAGAGGUCUGCUUAAAGAAGCUUUCUGGAUAAAAUGGUGAAGCUGUUUAUCUUCACAGAUAUCCGUAAUUUCCUUAAUGUGGCUAGUGGAUGAUGAUGUUGUACAAGAUUAUGAUUACCAAGGUUGUUUGGUUCUUUUAUACUGAAAAAUGGUUUCAACAAUGAAGAAGUCGAUCUUUGAUGAACAAACUAACAAGGCCUUAAGGAAAUUGCAAAAGAAUGCUCAAAAGAAGAGAAGGCAUCAUGAUGUGGUUCGAGCUGAAUGGGCAAAUCAUGUUAUACAGUUCUAACUUUGGUUCUGUUU